rnacentral:rRNA from 1 species
AUACAUGGGGGGCAAGCGUUAUCCGGAAUUAUUGGGCGUAAAGGGUGCGUAGGCGGUCUAUUAAGUCUGAGGUGUAAGUGCAGGGCUCAACCCUGUGAUGCUUUAGAAACUGGUAGACUUGAGUGAGAUAGAGGCAAGUGGAAUUCCAUGUGUAGCGGUAAAAUGCGUAAAUAUAUGGAGGAACACCAGUGGCGAAGGCGGCUUGCUGGGUCUAUACUGACGCUGAGGCACGAAAGCGUGGGGAGCAAACAGGAUUAGAUACCCUGGUAGUCCACGCCGUAAACGAUGAGUACUAAGUGUUGCGAGAACGCAGUGCUGAAGUUAACAUAUUAAGUACUCCGCCUGAGUAGUACGUACGCAAGUAUGAAACUCAAAUGAAUUGGCGGGG